AUUGAACGCUGGCGGCAUGCUUUACACAUGCAAGUCGAACGGUAACAGGUUAAGCUGACGCGUGGCGAACGGGUGAGUAAAGCAUCGGAACGUGCCUGAUCGCGGGGGAUAACGCAGCGAAAGACGCGCUAAUACCGCAUACGAUAUGAGGAUGAAAGCGGUGGACCGUAAGGCAUCGGGCGAUCGGAGCGGCCGAUGUCAGGUUAGGUAGGUGGUGGGGUAAAGGCUCACCAAGCCAACGAUAUGUAGCGGGUCUGAGAGGACGACCAGCCACACUGGGACUGAGACACGGCCCAGACUCCUACGGGAGGCAGCAGUGGAAAUUUUGGACAAUGGGCGAAAGCCUGAUCCAGCAAUGCCGCGUGAAGGAAGAAGGCCUUCGGGUUGUAAACUGCUUUUUUACGGAGCGAAAAGGUUCUCUCUAAUACAGAGGGCUCAUGACGGUACCGUAAGAAUAAGCACCGGCUAACUACGUGCCAGCCGCCGCGGUAA
rnacentral:rRNA from 1 species